UACGAAGGGGGCUAGCGUUGCUCGGAAUCAUUGGGCGUAAAGAGCGCGUAGGUGGCUUUAUAAGUCCGUUGUGAAGGUCAAAGGCUCAACCUUUGAAAGCCGAUGGAUACUGUGAAGCUAGAGUACGGAAGAGGCGAGUGGAAUUCCUGGUGUAGCGGUGGAAUGCGCAGAUAUUGGGAGGAACACCAGUGGCGAAGGCGGCUCGCUGGACCGGAACUGACGCUGAGGCGCGAAAGCGUGGGGAGCAAACAGG
rnacentral:rRNA from 1 species